rnacentral:rRNA from 1 species
AGAGUUUGAUCCUGGCUCAGGAUGAACGCUGGCGGCGUGCCUAAUACAUGCAAGUCGAGCGAACGGACGAGAAGCUUGCUUCUCUGAUGUUAGCGGCGGACGGGUGAGUAACACGUGGAUAACCUACCUAUAAGACUGGGAUAACUUCGGGAAACCGGAGCUAAUGCCGGAUAAUAUUUUGAACCGCAUGGUUCAAAAGUGAAAGACGGUCUUGCUGUCACUUAUAGAUGGAUCCGCGCUGCAUUAGCUAGUUGGUAAGGUAACGGCUUACCAAGGCAACGAUGCAUAGCCGACCUGAGAGGGUGAUCGGCCACACUGGAACUGAGACACGGUCCAGACUCCUACGGGAGGCAGCAGUAGGGAAUCUUCCGCAAUGGGCGAAAGCCUGACGGAGCAACGCCGCGUGAGUGAUGAAGGUCUUCGGAUCGUAAAACUCUGUUAUUAGGGAAGAACAUAUGUGUAAGUAACUGUGCACAUCUUGACGGUACCUAAUCAGAAAGCCACGGCUAACUACGUGCCAGCAGCCGCGGUAAUACGUAGGUGGCAAGCGUUAUCCGGAAUUAUUGGGCGUAAAGCGCGCGUAGGCGGUUUUUUAAGUCUGAUGUGAAAGCCCACGGCUCAACCGUGGAGGGUCAUUGGAAACUGGAAAACUUGAGUGCAGAAGAGGAAAGUGGAAUUCCAUGUGUAGCGGUGAAAUGCGCAGAGAUAUGGAGGAACACCAGUGGCGAAGGCGACUUUCUGGUCUGUAACUGACGCUGAUGUGCGAAAGCGUGGGGAUCAAACAGGAUUAGAUACCCUGGUAGUCCACGCCGUAAACGAUGAGUGCUAAGUGUUAGGGGGUUUCCGCCCCUUAGUGCUGCAGCUAACGCAUUAAGCACUCCGCCUGGGGAGUACGACCGCAAGGUUGAAACUCAAAGGAAUUGACGGGGACCCGCACAAGCGGUGGAGCAUGUGGUUUAAUUCGAAGCAACGCGAAGAACCUUACCAAAUCUUGACAUCCUUUGACAACUCUAGAGAUAGAGCCUUCCCCUUCGGGGGACAAAGUGACAGGUGGUGCAUGGUUGUCGUCAGCUCGUGUCGUGAGAUGUUGGGUUAAGUCCCGCAACGAGCGCAACCCUUAAGCUUAGUUGCCAUCAUUAAGUUGGGCACUCUAAGUUGACUGCCGGUGACAAACCGGAGGAAGGUGGGGAUGACGUCAAAUCAUCAUGCCCCUUAUGAUUUGGGCUACACACGUGCUACAAUGGACAAUACAAAGGGCAGCGAAACCGCGAGGUCAAGCAAAUCCCAUAAAGUUGUUCUCAGUUCGGAUUGUAGUCUGCAACUCGACUACAUGAAGCUGGAAUCGCUAGUAAUCGUAGAUCAGCAUGCUACGGUGAAUACGUUCCCGGGUCUUGUACACACCGCCCGUCACACCACGAGAGUUUGUAACACCCGAAGCCGGUGGAGUAACCUUUUAGGAGCUAGCCGUCGAAGGUGGGACAAAUGAUUGGGGUGAAGUCGUAACAAGGUAGCCGUAUCGGAAGGUGCGGCUGGAUCACCUCCU